ensembl:snoRNA SNORA70 Small nucleolar RNA SNORA70
AUGCAGUCAAGGAGCGUAGUGUGCCAUGACUGCAGACAGCAGGCUCCUAUAUGGAACUUGGUCCUGUAUGCAACCUAUUGCUCAUGUGGUUUGCCUAAGGGACCUUUAGAGACAGCC